rnacentral:rRNA from 1 species
UACGGAGGGUGCAAGCAUUAAUCGGAUUUAUUGGGCGUAAAGGGCGCGUAGGCGGAAAAAUAAGUCAGAUGUGAAAUCCCGGGGCUCACCCCCGGAACUGCAUUUGAAACUGUUUUUCUAGAGGAUGGACGGAGAAAACGGAAUUCCACAAGUAGCGGUGAAAUGCGUAGAUAUGUGGAGGAACACCGGUGGCGAAAGCGGUUUUCUAGUUUAUACCUGACGCUGAGGCGCGAAAGCUAGGGGAGCAAACAGG